UGGGGAAUAUUGCACAAUGGAGGGAACUCUGAUGCAGCGACGCCGCGUGAGUGAUGAAGGAAUUCGUUUCGUAAAACUCUGUUCUAUGGGAAGAAAAGGACUGUACCAUAGGAGAAAGCUCCGGCUAAAUACGUGCCAGCAGCCGCGGUAAUACGUAUGGAGCGAGCGUUGUCCGGAAUUAUUGGGCGUAAAGGGUGCGCAGGCGGCUUUACAAGUUGGAUGUGAAAUAUUGUGGCUCAACCACAAACGUGCAUCCAAAACUGCAAAGCUAGAGUUAAGGAGAGGUAAGUGGAAUUCCUGGUGUAGCGGUGGAAUGCGUAGAUAUCAGGAGGAAUACCGGUGGCGAAGGCGACUUACUGGACUUAAACUGACGCUCAGGCACGAAAGCGUGGGGAGCAAACAGG
rnacentral:rRNA from 1 species